rnacentral:rRNA from 1 species
UACGUAGGGUGCAAGCGUUGCCCGGAUUUAUUGGGCGUAAAGGGCGCGUAGGCGGCUCGGCACGUCCGUUGUGAAAUCGCCCGGCUCAACUGGGCGGGGUCAGCGGAUACGGUCGAGCUUGAGCAAGCUAGGGGGCAAUGGAAUUCCCGGUGUAGUGGUGAAAUGCGUAGAUAUCGGGAGGAACACCAGUGGCGAAGGCGACUACCUGGCCUGUUCUUGACGCUGAGGCGCGAAAGCUAGGGGAGCAAACGGG